UGGUGUAGAUCAGCUGAAAGCAGCAGGAUUUGCCCCUGCAGAGACGUGAGCGGCACUCAGGCGCACAGCCGCGGUAUGCGUGCACAUCCACAAGCGAGCAGCAUGAGCACCGUGCUCCUGAGGAAGAGAAACCUGUGUUUGGCUGUUGGUGCCUCUGGGAUGGAGGCUGGAGCCUGCCCUGAUGCAUCAAGGAAGAGUUCCCA
rnacentral:lncRNA from 1 species